UACGGGGGGGCAAGCGUUGUUCGGAAUUACUGGGCGUAAAGGGCUCGUAGGCGGCCAACUAAGUCAGACGUGAAAUCCCUCGGCUUAACCGGGGAACUGCGUCUGAUACUGGAUGGCUAGAGGUUGGGAGAGGGAUGCGGAAUUCCUGGUGUAGCGGUGAAAUGCGCAGAUAUCAGGAGGAACACCGGUGGCGAAGGCGGGUCUCUGGGCCGAUAUUGACGCUGAGGAGCGAAAGCGUGGGGAGCAAACAGG
rnacentral:rRNA from 1 species